rnacentral:rRNA from 1 species
GAGGGAAAGGCGAAAAGAACCCCGGCGAGGGGAGUGAAAAAGAACCUGAAACCGUGUACGUACAAGCAGUAGGAGCCCCAUCACUCAAGUGCCUCGCACUGAGUGAUGUAAGAACAUCACCGAAAAUAGCGCCGAAUUUGCUAACAAGGUUGGUCGAUUUUUUCAAGCCGUCGCGCAGUGUACCUAGAAGUACACGAGCAACGGAAGUUAAAAAAUCGGGCAAGAUUGAACGCAAAGGCAAGCGGGACAUUUGAGGAUGGGGUGACUGCGUACCUUUUGUAUAAUGGGUCAGCGACUUAUAUUCUGUAGCAAGGUUAACCGUAUAGGGGAGCC